rnacentral:tRNA from 1 species
CCCUAAGCUCAGUUGGUUUAGAGCAUCACGUCGACAACGUGAGGGUCAUUGGUUCGAGUCCAAUACGUUCCA